rnacentral:rRNA from 1 species
GACGAACCGUCCAAACGUUGUUCGGAAUCACUGGGCUUAAAGGGCGCGUAGGCGGCCCGCAAAGUCCGGGGUGAAAGCCUCCAGCUUAACUGGAGAAGUGCCUCGGAUACUGGCGGGCUUGAGGGAGGUAGGGGCAGCUGGAACUUCCGGUGGAGCGGUGAAAUGCGUUGAUAUCAUCAGGAACUCCGGUGGCGAAGGCGGCGCACUGGUCCUUUUCUGACGCUGAGGCGCGAAAGCCAGGGGAGCAAACGGG